AAUCUGCGAUAAGCGCCGGUAAGGUGAUAUGAACCGUUAUAACCGGCGAUUUCCGAAUGGGGAAACCCAGUGUGACUCGUCACACUAUCAUUAACUGAAUCCAUAGGUUAAUGAGGCGAACCGGGGGAACUGAAACAUCUAAGUACCCCGAGGAAAAGAAAUCAACCGAGAUUCCCCCAGUAGCGGCGAGCGAACGGGGAGGAGCCCAGAGCCUGAAUCAGCAUGUGUGUUAGUGGAAGCGUCUGGAAAGGCGCGCGAUACAGGGUGACAGCCCCGUACACAAAAGCGCAUGUGCUGUGAGCUCGAUGAGUAGGGCGGGACACGUGGUAUCCUGUCUGAAUAUGGGGGGACCAUCCUCCAAGGCUAAAUACUCCUGACUGACCGAUAGUGAACCAGUACCGUGAGGGAAAGGCGAAAAGAACCCCGGCGAGGGGAGUGAAAAAGAACCUGAAACCGUGU
rnacentral:rRNA from 1 species